ensembl:lncRNA
CUUAUGCACCCUCGUAGAACCGGGUCUGAAUACAUGACAUGUUGUAUGUUAUAUCUAUGUUAUUAUAUACAUCUCAACUGAAUUUGCAUUCUUCAUGAGGCCCAAAAUGAUAGACGUACAGUAUAUUGCUGUGUUUGUUCUGUGAACCUAUCUGUGCAAACUGCAGCCAAGAUCAGGAAAACGAAAACCAGCGCAAAUGUCUUCAUGUUGUUCACCUUUGCUUCCCGAGGCUGUAGUACUCUAAGACACUGUCUGCAGGUCGAGGUGGUUAAAUACCCCCCAUGUCACUGACAGCCAGAAAAAACAGAUUUAAAUAAAAAAAUAAUUACAUACUAAUAGUGGCAACUGGUCAGUAGGGGCAAGUGGGGCUCGGCCCCACCUACUCUCACAAGAAAAAAAGAAAAAAAGGAAAUAUAUAAAAUGAAUUAUAUACAUAUAUAUAAAAAUCUCCCCAGAAAGUACUGUCAAAUAAUAAAUUCGGCGCUUUUAGUUCAUUUUUAGUCGACCCUAGCUUGCUUCUUCAGACGGAUUUCGUCUGGAAGGGCAAGAGUGGCUCGAGCCUCAUCAGCCCAAUGUAAUGUGUAUUGGACUUGAAAAAUUGAAAUGCGUAUGCUCAGAGUGUUCCUCUGUUGAAAUCGACGCAGGUUAUUACUUCUGGUGGGGCUGGCACCACCGGGACCGCCAUGGACAUAUAUGGUUCGUUCCACAACGUUGUAAUUUCAUAUUUCACCGUUCAUUGGCUGUAGUGUGUGACGUUGUGAUGAGUCAUGACUCGAGUGACCUCCCACCUCACCUCACGUGCCGCGCGCAACUCGAGAAGUCCUGUAGCGAAGAAGAGAAGGAGAUGGAUAACUUUGCUAACAAACGCGUCGGAGGCACACAAACGAAAACGAGUCGACAACAUGAAUGAGGUAGAUCAUCUAUUGGAGCACAAAUUUGAGACCCUGAGCAUGGCGGAAAAAUUAGAGGACACUGCCUAGGCCUACGGGAGGUGUACUCCAUGGUAAAAUGAUAUUGGGUUCUUAUAGUAGCUCUUACAGCUGUUUGCAGUAGUAUCAUUUUAUUCUGAGGUUUACGGGAGCUUAGUUUAGAGUUGAACAACUUUUAAAACUAUACUUUCAUCAUUGCAAUGUUUUGAUGUCAACAAUAAAAGAUUAAAAACUACAUUAAUGUACUUUAUUAAUUAAAUAUACAUAUGUGAUACAAGGCGAACAGUCACUUAGUUCAAAAACAAAAAGGCCAGCAUACUGAAUAGUGUAAAAGUAUAUAUUUAUUUGUAAUGGUUGUGAUGGCCCCAGUACCUACCUGCUGUCCUGGCAGGUCCUUGUUGGUGGAGCUGAGGGCUGAAUAGAGAAUGGGAAACGCAAGCCAGGGCUACAAACAGCAUGGUGGGACACUGACACGUAAGUAAGACCAAUGAUGGAAGCUCAAUCUCUAUUUUGAAAUACUUUUGCUUUUUUAUGAAAAUUACCAAUUCUAUUUGUAAUAUAUGAGGUCUGUAACUUUUUCCCAAAAUGAAUUUCAAGAGAGAGAGAGAGAGAGAGAGAGAGAGAGAGAGAGAGAGAGAGGGAGAGAGGGAGAGAGGGAGAGGGAGAGAGGGAGAGAGGGAGAGAGAGGGAGAGAGCGCUUUAUGCACUAAUAUUACAAGGUUGUUGGUUGUCUUUAACUGUCGCCCUCUGGUAUCCUGGGGGGUUUUUGCGUUGCUUUGAGCGACCGAGUUCUACCUUUCAUCCCAUUGAUUGGCGUGCGUGCGUGUUUGUGUGUGGUGUAUGAAGCGAGAGACCCUGAUUGGUCCCGUGGUCCUUUAGGCAAAGUGGGCGGGACUUUGUUCCGUUCUAGCCUAUUAACCGAGAUCCUGUCCUGCAUCUGGAGCAGGCUUGGUGUGAGUGAUCCACAUACCUUGUGGUAACCAUGGUGAUGUAGAUGUACGCCCCCCCUUCCCCGUAGCCCACUCAGAAAUCGGUAGUAGAAUCCGUAGGCUAGUAUUAGUUAAGGGAGUUUUAUAUGUGAAAUAUCGUGCAUAAAGCUGUGUCUCACCCACUCUACUUGUCUGUCUGUCUGUGUCUCCCGGUCUCUCUGUCUCUCUGUCCCUGUCUCUCUCUAUUUCUGCCUCCCUUUCUCUGUAUCUCUCUGACCCUCCCUCCCUCCCUCUCUCUGUCCCUCCCUCCCUUUUGUGAGACAGUUCAGUGAAUAAAAACAACAAAACAAAAUGUAUUUCCCUUAAACUAAAUGAAACCGGUUUGUUCUGGAAAGAAUAAAUAGACGAAGGGAGUUGACCUAAGGGUAGAAAAUAGAUUUAAAUAAACCAUCUGCGCUUCGCAUAACCGCUUCAAAUCGCUUUGAGAAGAAAAUCAGGCGGACAGAUAUACUAACCUGGUCUCUGUUGAUAACCUGGAUAAAUUAAAUUAAUUGAGCCAAUUGAAUACCAUUGACUGUCAAACCGACGAUAUAGUCAUGUUUGCAUUUAUUUUUUAAUUAAAUUCAUACACAAUUUCCAAUGUGAUGCAUGAGUCAAAUAGACAGUUUAAGAGAUCACACACCUAGAAUAUGAAGGUCAAGGCCUAUGCGUUUAAUGUUUAGAUGAUAUCACUCUAUAGUGAAUCACUUGAUAUAGGCCGGCAGGGAAACAGCCCAACAUAGAAGCACGCGCUCGUCUUUGAUUCCUCAUCGUUGUCUUUGUUGUCGAAACUCUCCACAUGCCCAAACUUAUAAUGGACAUUAUCAAACUUCUUCACGAAAAAGUUUAGUUUUCUUUGCAUGAAAGAUUAUUAUUUAAAUCCACAAAGAACAUUUAUGUUUAACCCGGGGCAUAUAAACACUGGGGCACAAAAUUAAUUACUUUCUCUCGAUUGAAACCCAUUCAUAUUUUUCGAUCUCAUAGGUCCAAUGGGCUCUACCGGAAGGGGCAUGACUUCGCCAUAGGAGGAAAGAGUUUUUUUGGGGGGCUACAGGAAACAGAAGUGUCCGAUCAUGCACAGCCCUGUUUUUUUGGAAUUAUUAACCAGAGAACAAAUGUUGACACAAAACGACCACACAACCCAAACAUGCAUCAGCAUUCUGUAUCAAAUGUAAAACUGAUUGGCCUAAUCGUUAUGUCCCCCAAAUAUAAGAUUUAACAUUUUCUUAAUGCUAAAUAGUUUGUUUGUACAUUGGGUAAUACAUGAAAUGUAAUAUAUUAUAUGUAUACAUACUAUUAUAUAAAUCUCAACUGAAUUUUCAUUCUACCUGAGGCCCAAAAUGAUAGACGUAGGCCUACAGUAUUGCUGUAAUUGUUCUACGAACCUACCUGUGUAAAAUGCAGCUAAGAUCAGGAAAACGAAAACAAGCACGAAUGUCUUCAUGUUGUUCACCUUUGCUUCCCGAGGCUUUAGUACUGUAAGACACUGUGUGCAGGUCGACGAGGCUCUACUACUGUAAGACACUGUCUGCAGGUCGAGGUGGUUAAAUACCCCCCACGUCACUGACACCCAGAAAAAACAGAUUUAAAUAAAAAAUAAUUACAUGCUAAUAGUGGCAACUGGUCAGUAGGGGCAAGUGGGGCUCCCCCACGCCCCCACCUACUCUCACAAGAAAAAGAAGAAAAUGAAAAAAGAAAAAAAAUAUAUAAAAUGAAUUAUAUAUAUGUAUAUAUAAAAAAUCUCCCCAGAAAGUACUGUCAAAUAAUAAAUUCGGCGCUUUUAGUUCAUUUUUAGUCGACCCUAGCUUGCUUCUUCAGACGGAUUUCGUCUGGAGGGGCAAGAGUGGCUCGAGCGAGCCCCAUCAGCCCAAUGUAAUGUGUAUUGGACUUGAAAAAUUGAAAUGCGCAUGCUCAGAGUGUUCCUCUGUUGAAAUCGACGCAGGUUAUUAC